GUGGGGAAUAUUGGACAAUGGGCGAAAGCCUGAUCCAGCCAUGCCGCGUGUGUGAAGAAGGUCUUCGGAUUGUAAAGCACUUUAAGUUGGGAGGAAGGGCAGUAAGUUAAUACCUUGCUGUUUUGACGUUACCGACAGAAUAAGCACCGGCUAACUUCGUGCCAGCAGCCGCGGUAAUACGAAGGGUGCAAGCGUUAAUCGGAAUUACUGGGCGUAAAGCGCGCGUAGGUGGUUUUGUAAGUUGGAGGUGAAAUCCCCGGGCUCAACCUGGGAACUGCCUCCAAAACUGCAUGACUAGAGUACGGUAGAGGGUAGUGGAAUGUCCUGUGUAGCGGUGAAAUGCGUAGAUAUAGGAAGGAACACCAGUGGCGAAGGCGACUACCUGGACUGAUACUGACACUGAGGUGCGAAAGCGUGGGGAGCAAACAGGAUUAGAAACCCGUGUAGUCC
rnacentral:rRNA from 1 species